AAGUUGGCAAGUAAGAUCCUUAACUUCGGGAUAAGGAUUGGCUCUAAGGGCUGGGUCGGUCGGGCUGGGGUGCGAAGCUGGGCUCAAGCCGCGGCUGGGGGAGCAGUCGCUCUGUCUCCCUCCUCUCACCACCGUUGGAAGUUCAUUGUGCGACCCAUCUCGCGGUCUCUCGUACGUGGUCUUGCAAGGGGCUGUGUGCGGGUGUUCGUCAGGGUGGUGUCCGUCGGCUUGCCGAAGGCAGACCGUUGGAGUGUUGGGGAGAUCCUUCACGCGGAUGUCCCCAGCUAUGGUGCUCGCCGGCCCUGUUCAUGCUGGGUCUUUGGCGGGUCGCAUCGGCCGGCGCUUAGCAGCUGACUUAUAACUGGUGUGGACCAGGGGAAUCCGACUGUUUAAUUAAAACAAAGCAUCACGAAGGCCUGAGGUGGGUGUUGACGUGAUGUGAUUUCUGCCCGUUGCUCUGAAUGUCAAAGUGAAGAAAUUCAAUAAAGCGUGGCUCAACGGCAGGAGUAACAAUGACUCUCUUAAGGAGUCCUUAGCCUUAGUAAGGGAGAUAACGAGGUAACCCUCUA
rnacentral:ncRNA from 1 species